CCUCCCCUUGACUUUACAAAGCCCGUUCACCAGUGUACACACGUGUGAGCAUGAUUCGUCUGCAACAAGCCGCUCGCGGAGAUCCCGAGGAGGAUAAGAAGAAGGCAGAAAUGGAGCUGAAACAAGCUAGAAUCAUGACGAUACAAAAUGUCAUCAUGUUCGGCAUCACGUGUGGAAUAAUAAGAGGAUUGCCAUGGGUGAUGCAGCAGAUCAUGUAGGAUGAAGAGGAGACCAGUGUCCAGCUGGCUGGGAAACAACCAUGGUCCGAUGAACGACGUGCCAGAUUCAUGGUCACCACCCAGAUACAAGUUUCUGUGUGCAAGAAACAGGACUAAGCCAGCAUUAGGAACAUUGUCGGAGAAAGACACCAGCUUGUGAUGCUGGACACCAGAAUGGUGACAUUCCCUGUCAUUGAACUAUAUGCAUUCAUGAGUGAAGAGAGACUAGUGUACUAUAUGUGUGAAUGAAUGACAGUAUGUGGUAUUAAAACAUUCAGUCUGA